UACGUAGGGUGCAAGCGUUGUCCGGAAUUAUUGGGCGUAAAGAGCUCGUAGGCGGUCUGUUGCGUCGGCUGUGAAAACCCGGGGCUCAACCCCGGGCCUGCAGCCGAUACGGGCAGACUAGAGUUCGGCAGGGGGAGACUGGAAUUCCUGGUGUAGCGGUGAAAUGCGCAGAUAUCAGGAGGAACACCGGUGGCGAAGGCGGGUCUCUGGGCCGAUACUGACGCUGAGGAGCGAAAGUGUGGGGAGCGAACAGG
rnacentral:rRNA from 1 species